rnacentral:rRNA from 1 species
UGGGGAAUAUUGGACAAUGGGCGAAAGCCUGAUCCAGCAAUACCGCGUGUGUGAAGAAGGCCCUAGGGUUGUAAAGCACUUUUGUUAGGGAGAACGGGUUUUGUAGCUAAUACCUACAGAAUCUGAUGUUACCUAAAGAAUAAGCACCGGCUAACUCCGUGCCAGCAGCCGCGGUAAUACGGAGGGUGCAAGCGUUAAUCGGAAUUACUGGGCGUAAAGGGCGCGUAGGUGGUAUCUUAAGUUGGGUGUGAAAUCCCCGGGCUCAACCUGGGAAUUGCAUCCAAAACUGGGGUGCUAGAGUGUGGUAGAGGGUAGCGGAAUUUCUGGUGUAGCGGUGAAAUGCGUAGAUAUCAGAAGGAACAUCAAUGGCGAAGGCAGCUACCUGGGCCAACACUGACGC